rnacentral:lncRNA from 1 species
GAAGAGGGUGGAGCAUGAGUCUUCACUCCUUAAAUGUAGAUCAUGUACACCAACUUCCUUUCAAGGAGUAGAGCAUGGAAUAUUGAGGGGUGGAAUUUAUAGUAAAGAAAUCUGACAAACACUACCUCAAUCAAGUAUUGAAGAUGAACACUAAAAGUGAUGUUAUAUGGAUAACAGGUAAAUUUGAAAUGAUAAGAACAAGACUGAUAUGCACCAUAAGACUUUCUUCCUCAGAAUUUACACAAAAUUGAAGAUGAAUGAAUGGAUGGAUACAAGAAUGGACAGAUGAUGAUGACAGAAAGAAAA